AUAUGCAUUCCAAAGAAUAAGGGUGGUACGGGGUUUAGAGACCUUCACAACUUUAAUCUUGCUAUGCUAGCAAAGCAGUGUUGGCCACUUCUUCAAAAUUGUUGUGUGUGUGUGUGUGUGCAAGUGCUGAGUGCUAAGUAUUAUCCAAAUGGUGAUAUAUUAAAAGCAGGACCAAAGAAAGGUUCCUCAUUUACGUGGCAAAUCAUUUUUGCGGGAAUUCAGACUUUCUAA
rnacentral:rRNA from 1 species